CAAUCCCAAUACUGUGUUCAUCGAUUAAAUAAAUACUGUCAUGUCUGAUGACUGCAGUUUUAAAGGUUUUUACAAAACUGGCUAGAUUACCCACGCUAGCGAGAGAAGCAGUAAGCGUACUUAAAGGGCUGGAGGCAGUGUCUGGCUUUGACUUACAGAUCUUCCAGAAAGCCAAGGGAGAGGCCAUGGCAGAGUGGGGCGGAAGGUCCUUUGGAGAUCUGGCACCAUGAGGCAAAGACUUGUACAGGGAAAAGGGGCAAGAGGUGAAGUUUGUAACAGAUACCUCUUCAGUCUGUUAGGGUGUUAACCCCUGUAGCCUGGUCAGCAGGGAGGAGGGAUGGACUCUGUGAUAUCCAGAUUAAAGCCAUUGAUGGGAAAGCAAAAGAAGACAUGCUGUUAAUUUCUCCUUACAGAGAUGAGAGCUGUGCUGGGGCAUGUUAGAAGCAGCUACUGCCUCCAGCAGCUCCAGGGCCUGGGGUUCCUCUUGCCCGGCUCCUGGAGCCCAGCUUGUUAUGCCCAUCCCAGGCUGAUGGAUGUGGCUGCUGCUUUCCCAUUUGUAGGCACAGGACACUGACGGGGACGGUUACGCAAAUGGCCACAGACAAGGUGCUGCCUUCAGCUGUGACUCCUACUUGUAGGACUUGCAGAAGACCUAAAUACAGACCAGCUGGUCCAGCGUGACAUUUGCAAGCCAAUAACACACACACACACACACACACACACACACACAGACGGUUUGGGACAGGUACAGACUCUCACCCCCCCAGCAGCCAGCCCCAGGCACACAGGCUGUGACCCAUGAUCCUGCUCCAGCCUCCGGCACCGAGCCCCUCGCUCCCCUCACUCACACCGAUCCCCCCAGUAGCUGGCACUUACUCCUUGCAGCCUCCGCACGUGCUGUGUGGAGAGUGAGAGUACACAGAGAGACAGUUAAGAAAGGUUUUAUAAGAAGAGAGGGUGAUCGGGCACAAGGCUCAGUCAGACAAGCGUACAUUACACACGACCAACCCCUUUUACACCCCUUUGUGCCUGAUCCCCACUUUGCUCCUUCCCGAUCCCCUUCCCCUAAUCAUUCCUUCCUAAGUUUUGCAAAGUCCCCCUCAAAUAACCCAAAUCCUCAUGUUCCUCUUGUUUGCCGCUUUAUCAGUUACAAAGUCCAGGUGGCCCUCUCCAAAGCUGCGCCUGGAGCUCUUCAAUGGCCCAUCAAUCAGUAACCGGAGAGUUUUGGUCUUUAGCAUUGUCUCUAUUGUCCCUUGUCUACCAGGUUUACAUCUGUGUGUCCUUGUUUAUCACAUCCCCCCUUUACUUGUUAUCCCCUUUGCUUUGAAAAGGGCAGGUCCUUGGUCAGAUAACCUUCAUGAAGCAGAUGCUUUUACCUUCCACGUACACUUACAAGGUGUACGUACAAGGGUUUGCUCUAUCGCUUGCUUACUUUCUGGUAUUAAAGGACAAGGUCUCUCAAGGUUACCAGUGAGAUAGUCCAGAUCACAUUGUUUGGGAUUUUCCUUUGGUCACUCAAAUAUUUGUUUAAUCAAUAUGUAUGUUCCAUUUUACUAGAAUUUUAGUGUUAUUUUUUAAUAUGAAUCUUGAAAAUACAAUAUUUGGCUUAUGCGUAUAAUCUAGUCAAAAUUAUAAAUGCAGUGCCAAGUGGUUUUUCUCUUUAUGCACAAAAAAAUCCCCAACCCCCCUGAAAGUUUUAUAAGGACAAGCUAAGAACAGAGGUUAUAUAAAGGUCAUACUUAAAGUAUUUUUAAUUGAAUUUACUAUAGUGGCUUUACAAGUAGGGAUAUGGCAUAGUUAGAAAUGUUCCUCCAUGCCAAGUUAGCUUUUAUCUUGGAGUUCCCAUUCUGUGCAGAUGUAUGUAUGAAAUAAAGAAGAGCCCCAAAGCAA